UGCGAAAGCGUGGGGGAGGCAAACAGGAUUAGAUACCCUGGUAGUUCCACGCCGUAAACGAUGUCUACUUGGAGGGUUGUGGCCUUGAGCCGUGGCUUUCGGAGCUAACGCGUUAAGUAGACCGCCUGGGGAGUACGGUCGCAAGAUUAAAACUCAAAUGAAUUGACGGGGGCCCGCACAAGCGGUGGAGCAUGUGGUUUAAUUCGAUGCAACGCGAAGAACCUUACCUACUCUUGACAUCUACAGAAGCCAGCGGAGACGCAGGUGUGCCUUCGGGAACUGUAAGACAGGUGCUGCAUGGCUGUCGUCAGCUCGUGUUGUGAAAUGUUGGGUUAAGUCCCGCAACGAGCGCAACCCUUAUCCUUGUUUGCCAGCACUUCGGGUGGGAACUCCAGGGAGACUGCCGGUGAUAAACCGGAGGAAGGUGGGGACGACGUCAAGUCAUCAUGGCCCUUACGAGUAGGGCUACACACGUGCUACAAUGGCGCAUACAGAGGGCGGCCAACUUGCGAAAGUGAGCGAAUCCCAAAAAGUGCGUCGUAGUCCGGAUUGGAGUCUGCAACUCGACUCCAUGAAGUCGGAAUCGCUAGUAAUCGUGGAUCAGAAUGCCACGGUGAAUACGUUCCCGGGCCUUGUACACACCGCCCGUCACACCAUGGGAGUGGGCUGCAAAAGAAGUGGGUAGUUUAACCUUCGGGAGGACGCUCACCACUUUGUGGUUCAUGACUGGGGUGAAGUCGUAACAAGGUAACCG
rnacentral:rRNA from 1 species